rnacentral:misc_RNA from 1 species
GAUGAAGAACGUAGCGAAAUGCGAUAAGUAAUGUGAAUUGCAGAAUUCAGUGAAUCAUCGAAUCUUUGAACGCACAUUGCGCCCGCCAGUAUUCUGGCGGGCAUGCCUGUUCGAGCGUCAUUUCAACCAUCAAGCCCCCGGCUUGUGUUGGGGACCUGCGGCUGCCGCAGGCCCUGAAAACCAGUGGCGGGCUCGCUGUCACACCGAGCGUAGUAGAUUUUCAUCUCGCUCAGGGCGUGCUGCGGGUUCCGGCCGUAAAAAGCCUUAUUUACCCAAGGUUGACCUCGGAUCAGGUAGGAAGACCCGCUGAACUUAAGCAUACCAAUAAGCGGAGGA